CUGGAAAGACCCACACCUGGUUAAUCAAUAAUCAGAAGGAGCCUCUUGCUUGCCCAGUGGAACUGCUUGCUUGACAAGUUUUCUUUAAGGGACAUGUCAUUGUAUUACUAAUGAAUAAUUAAGGGAGAAAAGCUUGAGAUGGGGGUACUCUUCUGGACUAGUCUCUCCCUCUGGAUGCAUCUUGUGUUCCCCACUGGCAGACGGGCUGUCACUGUGCCACUCGAGAACCACACUCAGCUUUGGAGGAAAAUUGUGUCACUAUCAAUCACUCACUUUGAUUAGUACCUUACUCUGUGUGUAAAGGUGUGUAAAAGCGGCAAUAUUGACCCCCUAAAUGGUAAGGCACUGGUAAAUGAGGGAAUGCCUGGGCUAAAGGAAACAAGUCUGCCUAGCCUGGACUCUAAGGGGGCUGAGACUUCCCGCUAACUACCUGAGAGGUUCUGAAGCUGAUCAGUUGGUCUCCUGACAUAGGAAACAAAAAUCUUAUUAAGGGCAGGAUCUGCUCCAGCCUUUCAGGGGCCAACCAUUGACUGACAAUAAAAGGACUGCAGGAGGGGUCUACCUGCUUGACACAUUGACUGGGCCUAGGACUCACAAGAAAGGUAUUCCUGGUCUCUUGUAAAAGUCUCACGUGAUUUAUUACAAAGGUGCCAGCCGCCAUAUGUCCCAAAAGCUAGAGACAAUUUCUGGCUGAUGUUUGAGAGAUGUCUUGGACUCUACUAAGUUGGCUAGGGUUAUGAAGCUGUGCAAAGGGAGGAAUGCUUUAGCUGUUACUGCAUUGAGGGGGCGUAAAUUCCCAGAGAGCAAAAGGUGGCUCUAGAAUCUUUUAAGGGAAACAAAUAUUCAUCAGUUUUUUCCUGCAAACAACUUCAGUCUGUUAAAGGGAAGGUCCUUACCGGUAUUUUGGACUUCCCUCAGAAACCUGAGAGCUGAAGUCAGAAGGCCCUCCUUAUGACUACCACCAUGGAGAAAGAAUGAGCAGCUCUAUCAGCGGUGUCCAGAAAGGUCUGCAGAGAAUUGAGAUGUUCUUGUGAGCAGCUGGCCCUCAGCAAUGAUCACCUGCAAUUGCUCCCUGUGGUCUGUUGGAAGAUGCUCAAUAAAAGCAUUC